AUGAUCCUGUGGCUGAAUUUCUUUUCCUUAUUAGCAGUUCUCAGAGGUGUCCUGUCAGAGGCCCAGUUGGUGGAGUCCGGAGGGGAUGUGAGGAGGCCUGGAGAGUCCCUCCGUCUCUCCUGCCAAGGCUCUGGAUUUGACUUCGGCAGCUAUGGCAUGAACUGGGUGAGACAGGCCCCUGGAAAAGGGCUGGAAUGGGUGGCAUACAUAAACUCUGCUUCAAGUGACCUUAAGUACUCGGACAAAGUGAAGGGACGCUUCACCAUCUCCAGGGACAACUCCAAAAGCCAAGUCUACCUGCAAAUGAACAGCCUGAAGCCGGAGGACUCGGCAGUCUAUUACUGUGCAAGAUACACACUGAGAGGAAGUGAGUCUGAAGCCUGGCAAAAACCU